AUUGGACGCUGGCGGCAGGCCUAACACAUGCAAGUCGAGCGGGGUUUUCGGACCUAGCGGCGGACGGGUGAGUAAUGCGUAGGAAGCUACCCGAUAGAGGGGGAUACCAGUUGGAAACGACUGUUAAUACCGCAUAAUGUCUACGGACCAAAGUGUGGGACCUUCGGGCCACAUGCUAUCGGAUGCGCCUACGUGGGAUUAGCUAGUUGGUGGGGUAAUGGCUCACCAAGGCGACGAUCCCUAGCUGGUUUGAGAGGAUGAUCAGCCACACUGGAACUGAGACACGGUCCAGACUCCUACGGGAGGCAGCAGUGGGGAAUAUUGGACAAUGGGCGCAAGCCUGAUCCAGCCAUGCCGCGUGUGUGAAGAAGGCCUUCGGGUUGUAAAGCACUUUCAGUAGGGAGGAAGGGUUAAGUGUUAAUAGUACUUAACUUUGACGUUACCUACAGAAGAAGCACCGGCUAACUCUGUGCCAGCCGCCGCGGUAACAC
rnacentral:rRNA from 1 species